AACGCACAUUGCGCCCAUUGGUAUUCCGAUGGGCAUGCCUGUUCGAGCGUCAUUAUCAACCCUCAAGCCUCCGGCUUGGUGUUGGAGGUCUGGCGGUCCCUACGGACCGCCCCUCCCAAAGACAACGACGGCGGCGGCGAGCGUCCCCGGUACACUGAGCUUUUCACCGAGCACGUACUGGAUGGGCCUCGACGUCCCGGUCUGCCUCCCCUCCGGGAGAAUUUUUUCAAGGUUGACCUCGGAUCAGGUAGGGAUACCCGCUGAACUUAA
rnacentral:misc_RNA from 1 species